ACUCCUACGGGAGGCAGCAGUGGGAAGUAUUGGACAAUGGGCGAAAGCCUGAUCCAGCCAUGCCGCGUGUGUGAAGAAGGCCUUUUGGUUGUAAAGCACUUUAAAGCGAGGAGGAGGCUACUUGGAUUAAUACUCUAGGAUAGUGGACGUUACUCGCAGAAUAAGCACCGGCUAACUCUGUGCCAGCAGCCGCGGUAAUACAGAGGGGUGCGAGCGUUAAUCGGAUUUACUGGGCGUAAAGCGUGCGUAGGCGGCUUUUUAAGUCGGAUGUGAAAUCCCUGAGCUUAACUUAGGAAUUGCAUUCGAUACUGGGAAGCUAGAGUAUGGGAGAGGAUGGUAGAAUUCCAGGUGUAGCGGUGAAAUGCGUAGAGAUCUGGAGGAAUACCGAUGGCGAAGGCAGCCAUCUGGCCUAAUACUGACGCUGAGGUACGAAAGCAUGGGGAGCAAACAGGAUUAGAUACCCUGGUAGGAUAGCG
rnacentral:rRNA from 1 species